AUUGAACGCUGGCGGCAUGCUUUACACAUGCAAGUCGGACGGCAGCGGGGUAGUGCUUGCACUACUGCCGGCGAGUGGCGAACGGGUGAGUAAUAUAUUGGAACGUACCGAGUAAUGGGGGAUAACCAAUCGAAAGAUUGGCUAAUACCGCAUACGCUCUGAGGAGGAGAGCAGGGGACAUUCGGGCCCUGCGUUAUUCGAGCGGCCAGUAUCUGAUGAGCUAGUUGGUGGGGUAAGGGCCUACCAAGGCGACGAUCAGUCGCGGGUCUGAGGGGAUGAUCGGCCACACUGGGACUGAGACACGGCCCAGACUCCUACGGGAGGCAGCAGUGGGGAAUUUUGGACAAUGGGCGCAAGCCUGAUCCAGCCAUGCCGCGUGUCUGAAGAAGGCCUUCGGGUUGUAAAGGACUUUUGUUAGGGAAGAAAAAGGAGCGGUUAAUACCCGGUUCUGCUGACGGUACCUAAAGAAUAAGCACCGGCUAACUACGUG
rnacentral:rRNA from 1 species